rnacentral:rRNA from 1 species
UAAGCAUAUCAAUAAGCGGAGGAAAAGAAACCAACAGGGAUUGCCUUAGUAACGGCGAGUGAAGCGGCAAUAGCUCAAAUUUGAAAUCUGGCGCCUUUGGGUGUCCGAGUUGUAAUUUGUAGAGGAUGUUUCGGUAAUUGGCUCCGGUCUAAGUCCCUUGGAACAGGGUGUCAUAGAGGGUGAGAAUCCCGUAUGCGACCGGCGCCGUUGCCAUGUGAAACUCCUUCGACGAGUCGAGUUGUUUGGGAAUGCAGCUCUAAUUGGGAGGUAAAUUUCUUCUAAAGCUAAAUACUGGCCAGAGACCGAUAGCGCACAAGUAGAGUGAUCGAAAGAUGAAAAGCACUUUGGAAAGAGAGUUAAAAAGUACGUGAAAUUGUUGAAAGGGAAGCGCUUGCAAUCAGACCUGCUUGCAGUUGUUCAUCUAGGCUUUUGCCUAGUGCAUUCUUCUGUAAGUAGGCCAGUAUCGGUUUGGGCGGUUGGAUAAAGAAUUCAGGAAUGUAGCUCCUCUCGGGGAGUGUUAUAGCCUGUUUUGUAAUGCAGCCAGCCCAGAUCGAGGACCGCGCUUCGGCUAGGAUACUGGCGUAAUGGUUGUAAGCGGCCCGUCUUGAAACACGGACCAAGGAGUCUAACAUCUGUGCGAGUGUUUGGGUGUCAAACCCAUGCGCGUAAUGAAAGUGAACGGAGGCGGGAACCUUUUAGGUGCACCGUCGACCGAUCCUGAUGUCUUCGGAUGGAUUUGAGUAAGAGCAUGGCUGUUGGGACCCGAAAGAUGGUGAACUAUGCUUGAAUAGGGUGAAGCCAGAGGAAACUCUGGUGGAGGCUCGCAGCGGUUCUGACGUGCAAAUCGAUCGUCAAAUUUGGGCAUAGGGGCGAAAGACUAAUCGAACUAUCUAGUAGCUGGUUCCUGCCGAA